UCACCGCACACUCCUGUCUCUUUCUGUAUGUAUAGAACAUGCAUUAGCAUCAGAAUUACAUAAGGAAACCUGCUACGGUCAGCAGACUCACAAUAUCAGCCCCUAUGCUGACUAAGUGGUUGUCAUGGAAUUUCCCUUCCUGUGCUGUCAAAUCUCCAAAUAAUUGCAAUUUGGAACAGCCUGUUUGCUGAACCUGGGGCAAAGGAGGGGCAAAACUAUCAAAGCUGGAGAUGCAAGAGCACUUCAGAUAAUUAUCAGCUUCUCCGGGUCAUGGAAACAUCAUGUGCAUUUUGGUAACUCUCAUACGAUGGCAGGACAUUAAAGAAAGAGCUCAGGAGGUUUCUAUGCAUGUGUGACACCACCCUCACUGGGCUCUGAGUUCCACAACACCAGGGAC
rnacentral:lncRNA from 1 species